CACCUUUCCAUUCUAAUUCUGAAGCUUUACAUAUAGCUGUAACUACCUGCAAGGCUUUCAACAGCAAGGCCUGUUUUCCUAAGGCCAGUCAUCAGAGCUCCCGGUAUCUCCUCCAUAUGCCCCUGCUCUUGGCAGCUGUGCAAAUAGAGGCAACCCCAGACCUCUUCCUAAUAAGGUGCUCAAAGAGGAUGGAAACUUCUAUUGAAACAGAUCCAAGAGCUAUAUUUCAUCAUGCUCAAGGCA